AUGACAUACAAUCAGCACGGUGACAAACACACAGAGCUCAUGGCAGUCAUCUCACCAUCACUGAUAUUUAUUCAUUGUGAAAACUUCUUUAUUAUGAAAGGAAAGAAGACAGCCUCCAGCAGCAAUCAGUGAAGGUAUAAUGGUAAGUAGUAGUUCUGGUGUGGAUGCAUAUGUAACACAUACUGGAAAAGAUUUCAGAGUUGCCUGAGCAAACAGCAGCCACUAGCUCCAAAACCAGAAGCAGCCUAGCACGAACAAUCCAGCACUGCAGCAAGCAGAGCUGACAGCCCUAUUGUUCUCAAGAUUAAUCCAGUAUCUCUUCACUGCUGCAUGGAUACAUCAGCUGACCAUUAUCUUAAGCCAUGGAGUUGAGGAAAUUUUUCUCAGACAUAAAAGAAUAAGUUAACUGAAAUCAAAAAUAGGUCCCAUACCAACUCUGAUUCUCUCUUAGAGGAACAAAAGCAACAUUUUAAAUUCUUAAAAUGUAAAUAUGCUUAACACAGGACCUGCUAUACUUCAUUUAUGGAAAAGGUGACUCAAAAAGUAUGAUUACAUUCAACAAUAGGAAAACUCUAAAAAUUACUUGCAGUACAAUGAAUAAGUUUGAUCCUAUGAUAUUCAAAUGAUCUCACAGUAACCAACUGGGACUGUGUGGUUGAAUUAUGCAUAAAUAAUCCUUUCAUCAAAUUCUGAUGAAGUGAACUCAGAUACCAAAUGACAAUGUCUCAAAGUGAUUUCUCAACAAUGCAUAGCAGCUGGAGGAAAAGGCUUUAAAAAAACCAAACACAAAACUGAGAGAAAGAUCCAUGUGGUUAAAACCUCACUGGUAUUCUCCAGAAAUGUGAAGAUUUUAAGACCUUUUCUCUGAAAUUUAAAGCAAUGGUUGCCAUAAAAAAGGACAAGCAGAAGAAAAACCAUUUGUGCCUAAUGUUGGUUCUGAAUCAUUUAAUGGGAUUUCCAAUGAAAUUGGAAACAGACACUGUCUGUGAACCUUAAUACUGAAGCCUAAAGAGCACUACAGCCACAAAGUUAUAAACAAUGGGCUUUUAAGCUGAGGAAAAAAUAGUGUAUGAGUUAUGACUUGACUGCAUAAUAUGAUGCUUUAGAGAUACACAGCUUAAUUGAUAAGCUC
rnacentral:lncRNA from 1 species